CUGCCGAUGAUGGUUAUGAAUUUCUUCACCUGAAUAAACCAUGUUGUCAUGUUGUCGUCUGAGGCAGG
ensembl:snoRNA SNORD36 Small nucleolar RNA SNORD36